GUUUUUUUGCUGUGCAGACAUACCUUCUGACGAGUUUAGAUUAAGACCUUGUAUCAUCCUGGUACAUUGCAUAAUCUGCAGUGAUGAAAUUCACCCUUGUGCAGAGGGUCUGCACAAAGAUAUAGGCGAAACAUGAGGCCCUCUUAAGCCUCCAGGGUGACAGCAGUGUUCAAGUCCUUGUACGAGCUCUAAACUUCACCAGUGACUCAUGUUCUUGCUCUGCUCCAAUGAUCACCACUGCUCCAUACGCCAAUUGGGAUUCAAUAGUCACUAACAAGGUAAAGGCACAAUACGUUAUUUCUGUUGUAGUAAAGGGAUUGCUAGUGCCUAGUUUAUGAGGAAGGGUAACUGAGGUGGCAACCAUCCCUAUGGAAAAAUAUUUUGGGGGAAAAGCAACCAAAGCAAUGCAAAGUCAGCUGGAUUUUUGUUUGUUUGCCCAGUGUCACCCAGGUUGACAUAUGUACUAGAGCAACCUAAAAAAAGUCUCUCUUUUUGUUUCCCCAAGGAAGAGUUCUUGAAUUUUUAUCUCUUUAGGAGUUUGUUACAGCGCCUUCACUACUCUGGGAAAUAUCAGACCCAGUUCCACCCAGUGACAGAGUCUCCACCGGAGCCCACCAUGACGCCGCAGGAGUCUUCACCACCAUCAUCUGUUCCACCUGAAACUCGUCUCUUUGACUGAUGCCUAGCUGGAGCGAGUGGAUGGAUUCACUGGUGACUGCCCAGUUGUGGUCAGAAGAAACCCAAGGAACAUUCAGUCAUCACUCUUCCACAAGUAGAAGAAAAAGUAGCAGAAAUUGGCUACUUGGAAAUUGUCUUGUCUGUAUUAACUCUGAUUAAUAAAA